AUUGAACGCUGGCGGCAUGCUUUACACAUGCAAGUCGAACGGUAACAGGUUAAGCUGACGAGUGGCGAACGGGUGAGUAAUGCAUCGGAACGUGCCCGGUCGUGGGGGAUAACGCAGCGAAAGCUGCGCUAAUACCGCAUACGAUUUGAGGAAGAAAGCGGGGGACCGUAAGGCCUCGCGCGAUCGGAGCGGCCGAUGUAAGCUUAGGUAGUUGGUGGGGUAAAGGCGCACCAAGCCAACGAUCUGUAGCUGGGCUGAGAGGACGACCAGCCACACUGGGACUGAGAAACGGCCCAUACUCCUACGGGAGGCAGCAGUGGGGAAUUUUGGACAAUGGGCGAAAGCCUGAUCCAGCAAUGCCGCGUGCAGGAAGAAGGCCUUCGGGUUGUAAACUGCUUUUGUACGGAGCGAAAGGGUCUCCUCUAAUACAGGGGGCUCAUGACGGUACCGUAAGAAUAAGCACCGGCUAACUACGUGCCAGCCGCCGCGGUAA
rnacentral:rRNA from 1 species